CCUACGGGAGGCAGCAGUGGGGAAUAUUGCGCAAUGGGCGAAAGCCUGACGCAGCGACGCCGCGUGAGGGAUGAAGUAUUUCGGUAUGUAAAGCUCUAGCAGCAGGGAAGAAAAUGACGGUACCUGUCUAAGAAGCCCCGGCUAACUACGUGCCAGCAGCCGCGGUAAUACGUAGGGGGCAAGCGUUAUCCGGAUUUACUGGGUGUAAAGGGAGCGUAGACGGUCCUGCAAGCCAGAUGUGAAAGCCCGGGGCUCAACCCCGGGACUGCAUUUGGAACUGUAAGGCUUGAGUGUCGGAGAGGCAGGCGGAAUUCCUAGUGUAGCGGUGAAAUGCGUAGAUAUUAGGAGGAACACCAGUGGCGAAGGCGGCCUGCUGGACGAUGACUGACGUUGAGGCUCGAAAGCGUGGGGAGCAAACAGGAUUAGAUACCCGAGUAGUC
rnacentral:rRNA from 1 species